AAUGAACGCUGGCGGCAGGCCUAAAACAUGCAAGUCGAACGCCCUAGCAAUAGGGAGUGGCGCACGGGUGAGUAACAUGUGGGAAUAUGCCUUUUGGUACGGAACAACGUUUGGAAACGAACGCUAAUACCGUAUGGUCCCUCCGGGGUAAAGAUUUAUCGCCAAAAGAUUAGCCCGCACUAGAUUAGCUAGUUGGUAAGGUAAUGGCUUACCAAGGCGACGAUCUAUAGCUGUUCUGAGAGGAAGAUCAGCCACCCUGGGACUGAGACACUGCCCGGACUCCUACGGGAGGCAGCAGUUAGGAAUAUUGGACAAUGGGCGCAAUCCUGAUCCAGCCAUGCCGCGUGAGUGAUGAAGGCCUUCGGGUUGUAAAGCUCUUUAGCCGACGAAUAUAAUGACUGUAGUCGGAGAAUAAGCCCCGGCUAACUUCGUGCCAGCCGCCGCGGUAAGAC
rnacentral:rRNA from 1 species